CACGAACGCUGGCGGCAGGCUUAACACAUGCAAGUCGAACGGGCGUAGCAAUACGUCAGUGGCAGACGGGUGAGUAACACGUGGGAACCUUCCUCGUUGUACGGAUCAAUCCUGGGAUACUUGAGCUAAUACCUUAUACGUCCGAGAGGAGAAAGAUUUAUCGCAAUGAGACGGGCCCGCGUCGGAUUAGGUAGUUGGUGGGGUAACGGCCUACCAAGCCGACGAUCCGUAGCUGAUCGGAGAGGAUGAUCAGCCACACUGGGACUGGGACACGGCCCAGACUCCUACGGGAGGCAGCAGUGGGGAAUCUUGGACAAUGGGCGCAAGCCUGAUCCAGCCAUGCCGCGUGAGUGAAGAAGGCCUUAGGGUUGUAAAGCUCUUUUACCAGGGACGAUAAUGACGGUACGUGGAGAAUAAGCCCCGGCAAACUUCGUGCCAGCCGCCGCAGUAACAC
rnacentral:rRNA from 1 species